UGAGUAAUAUUUAAACGUAUGCAUUUGACGUCGACUCAUGCUCGACUUAUCAGUGAUCGGCGAAAUAAUAUCGUUUUCAUAUUUCACGCGCUAGUUUCUUACUUCUUUGUAGAGACCUUGUCUCGUUAAAGAUGAACUAUGCAAAUUGUCAUUGUUUGCAUUUUUGGUGUCCCGAUUAUAGUAUGUUUAUUCACGAUAGGAAAUGUAAGAAGUUAUAAAUAAUAUUCGAGACUGCUUGAUUUUGUCGUAAGAAGGAAGAGAGAAACGUAAUAUGCGCGAGCUUUGGAAUUCGUAUAUAUAGUUAGGUAUAUACAUAGUUCACAAUGUGCAGAGUAUAUCACGUGUUUGAUAUGCCAUCGACCUACAUGUACUCUGGAUUAACUCUGUGACCAGCAUUGAAUCUAUUGAACUCAAAUAGCGUUCGACUUAAGCACUUAAGCGAUACUUAAAGACUGAAAUUACGCGCUUCUUGAAUAAGAAUGAUAUUAUAUCAUAAUACGUUUCCCAUUUAUAGGUUCCAUUGAAAAGUGAAUUCGUUAGUCUGAUAGCUUAUCGCUGAGAUCGAAAGUGCUGAGUCACGACAAUUUAACGAUUUAUUCUGUGCAUUCUUACUAUAUUUUUUCUUCUUGCACCUCAUAUUUUUUCAUGCUUACAUCGCUAUAUAUAACGGAUACUCUGUUAUUGAAUAUAUUUCAGCGGAUUAAAUGAAAAAUGAUAAAUAACAAUAUUCGAAUGAGUAUAACAAGCCUAGUCUGAACCAUUAAGUCAUACUACGUAUAUAUAUAUAUAUAUAUAUAUAUAUCAUUUCAUGUAUGUUAAUAGUGCUCGCUUAAUACAGCACAUAUUUCAAUGGAUAUUUUAAUACAGACUUAAUAAUUUUUAAAUAUAAUUUAACUGUUGUGCUCAAAAUUAUCCGUUUAUUGAAAAUGUAAUAUAAAAUCGUUUUAAUUGAAAGCAUUAAUUCUUUUAUUCGUGCUAAAAUUUCAAAUGCAAUGUACGUAUGUAGUACGUAUAGUAGUUAAAUAUAUUAUAUAUAUAUAAUGCAGCAAACAUACAACUAAUCAAACGUUAAAUCGCACAGACAUUUCAUCUGUUCAUUGGUAAUGUGAAACCAUUAUUAUUCCUCACAGUGUAAUUUACAUAUUUCUUCUCGAGGCAAACAAACUUACUUGAGAAACUUGCAUCAAUAAGGACAAUGUAUUGAAAGAAUCAACAAUUUAAAAAUGUAUCAUAGCUCUUAUCUGAGAUACGUAUAUAGUCGUUAGUAUACUGAGGAGUAAAAAAGAAAAAAAGAAAUGCUGAAUGUGCUGAAUGUUUCUAAGAAACACGGUAUCACUGUACCAGCGCAUCUUAAUCUCUUUGAAUGCAACGUUCCUGCGUUAAUUUCUUGUCAUAUAUCCGGCAUGGAUUCUACAGGCGAUAUUGACUUCUUUUUUUAAUUUUUAUCUUUUUCGCAAUAUGUUAUUUUCCGAUAAACUUGCCAAGUUGUGUUUAUUUUGUAUAUCUAUAUACGUAUGUGUAUUUGAUAAAAUUUACUAGUUA